GUCUCCAGGGACCCCAGACAAACCUCCGUGGUGGCCCACCUCCUUCUCCAGGGUCAUUGGGCUGGAAUCCACACUCUCUGCAGAUGGUUCACCUGUAAUUUGUCCCUUUCACACCCAUGAGGCCGAGGGGCCCCUGGGCUUGGCUGGGCAGUUACAAUGUCAGGCUCCUUGAUCUGGCUACGGGUGAAGGGGGCUUGGAAGGAUUGUACAACACCCCAUCUUUGCCCCAAGAUGAGUCUGCCAUGCUGACCCCUUUGCAAGGCACUGUAGAGACUGGCAGGGACUUGAGCACCUGGGCUGGGCAGGAGACAGGAAGCCCAGAGGGGCAGGGCCCUGUCACGUCCAUUCAGGCUCCGUGUGCUGGAACCUGGCCCUCUGGGAUGGAGGAGUAGGGGUUGAGGGGACUCAAUGCCAGAGAGGCUGGGGGGCAUCUGUCUCCCAGUCCAGGCCAAGACAUGCUCGCUGUCCACAGCCCCACGGCCCUGCUGCUCCUGGAUCUGCAGACCAGACCAUUUCCUGUGCCCCCUCCCUCUGGCUGGCCGCCCGCCCCGGGCGCCAUCCCCAAGCACUGUAAGGAGCCUGCAGCCUCUGGCCGCCUGGGGCUCCUGCUUUGGAGCCGACCAGGGCAGCACAUCGGCAUCUCUUCACUCCCUGCCUCUCUCUGCUUCCUGCUGACCUGCACGCACACACACUUUCCCUCCCUGUCCUCUUUCCUCUCUCCCCCCUUUUCUAAUCUUUGCUCUGUCUGAGCCUGAUGUGCCUUUGCAUUAAAUCCCCUUCCCCAUCCUCUGUCUGGGUCACCUGGGCCUCAGAAGGCUGGUAAAUAAAGAGGGGGGGCCGGGCUGAGGAGAGGCCAGGGAACUGGGCCUCAAAUGCCCCCUCUCUGGCUGCCCCCAGAUGGGUGUCACCACCCAGAGAGGUGGGAUCUCCUCUGCCCCACUCUGCUGUCACUCUAUGCUGGCACACAUGUGUGCCUACAUUCAUGCACACACACGGCUUGCACACAGCUCCACGUCUCCAGGAGGAGGGAGACCUCUAAGUGGGAAAGAAAGGAAGUCAGAAUGACACUGGUGCUUCACAUGCAUCAGGGCAAAGGCUCUAAAAGGGGGUGAGCAGGUGAGAGGAAGUAGGGGGAGACUACCUGGCGCUCCUGGUCCUGAGGACUUCUCCCAGUCCCUCCUUCCUCCAAGGUCCUGAGCUGUACCUUGGCUAAGCCUCCAAAGAGGCACCCAGGCUAGGUCUCCCUUACCGGAGCCUUGAGCGCCACCACCCCUCCUGGACCCCUGCACUGGAAGCUCUGGAGAAAUGCAAUCACAUGCCCCCAAGCCAGCAGACUGAAGAGGUAAUUUGCCCUGGGCUGGGAACAGAUUUUCUCACUGGAGUUACAGGCAGGGACCUCAGAGGCCACCAGCUUGGAGGUUCUCACCCACUGGAAGACCCUGAAGGCGAGGAUGGCACCAUUCUGCUCCUCCCACCCCCAGCUCCCUCCACAUCCCAGUCCUUCUCAGCAACCCCAGAAAGCACACUGUACACUAAGAGCGAGUGACCCUCCCUCUUGGGUACAGAGAGCUUCAGCCCCCUCUCCAGUCACCCAGGGUGCAGGGGAGCUGGGGUUUGAACACAGCCAGUCUGGCUCCAGGGUCCAGACUUCCAAUAACAGAUGUUCAAUAAAUAUUUGUUGAAUGAAAACCUGUGUGCUUUAAAAAAUGCAGAUGCCUGGGCUCCUCCCCAGAUCUACCGACUCAGAACCUCAGGUGUGGGGCCCUGGCAUUUGAGUAGUUUACAGAGCUUCUGGGUGGUUCUAAUGAGGUGUACAGGAAACCGAGAGCGGAAGCCACUUGCCAAGGCCUCUGAGCUGAGAGAUGGUGACAUGAGGCUUAGAGCAGGUCUGUAAACCUUCCCCAGGGCCCCACGUUGUUAAGGAGUGGGCUGUCAAUCCCACCCACCUCCCUGAGUCUCACCCAAGCUGCUGUGGGGCUGCCGGAGCCUGCAUCUUGACCCGGGGGGAAAGAUGCGCUGAGACCCUCCCAGCGCUCCGGUGGCCUGGCACCUGCCUCAGUGGAGAGCACAUUUCUGCUCCAUUAGGCUGGCCUGUGAAAUGUGUGGAAUGGGAGCAGAAGGGCACCGCAUAAAACAUGCAGAAAAUCCAGCACCGCUUCCUCCUUCCCCCGGUCCUGGCUGUCCGACACCACCAGCCCUCAGGGGCUGAAGAGGAGCAAGAUCUGGCUGCCAUCACUGCCCUGGAGAAACCACCCUGCUUGUGGCAAAUAAAAUUGGGGAGGUUGAAAUACAGUUGCAGUUUAGUUCCAGCUGGAUAUUAACAGCUUCAGGGACAAGCUCAGAAAGUGAGAGAGGAGAGGAAGGAGUAGGAAAGGGAGCUGUGAACACCAUUAACAUCCAGUUUCCUCAGAGAAUCCCAAAUGUUUGAGGCUCUGGUCUUGGGAGCUGCAGAGGGCGGGCGGGCAAUGAGGUGCUGUUGUCAGAAGGCUGAUGCUGCAAUUUCUAGAAGCUGCACCUACUAGAGGGGUGAGUGGGGCUGAGGACAAGGCCCAGACACU